rnacentral:rRNA from 1 species
UACAGAGGUGGCAAGCGUUGUUCGGAAUUACUGGGCGUAAAGCGUGCGUAGGUGGUUUGUUAAGUCUGAUGUGAAAGCCCUGGGCUCAACCUGGGAAUGGCAUUGGAUACUGGCGAGCUAGGGUGCGGUAGAGGGUAGUGGAAUUCCCGGUGUAGCAGUGAAAUGCGUAGAGAUCGGGAGGAACAUCUGUGGCGAAGGCGACUACCUGGACCAGCACUGACACUGAGGCACGAAAGCGUGGGGAGCAAACAGG